UCUUAAUAUUAAUUACCUAAUACCCCGAAGUCUGCCAAGGAGCCGUGUCGGACCACGUGUUUCACAUCAUGAAAGUUUGAUGGUUAAGAGAAUGCAGGACGAGAUUUUCAUUAGUGAACUCCACUUACAGCAGAGCGAUAAAAGGUACCGCUUUGUCCACAAGGGUCGCCAAGUUCCUCACAGUAGCUUUAUUAUAAGACCACAACUUACAUGCAAUCAAGAUAAUGUACUCACAAGGAGUGCGUGUUGAAAGAGAUGGGCGUUCACUCAUAAAUCCAUGAUGUGAGUAAAACGAAUCAUCUUUGGUCAUCAGUAUGAAAGUGGAGCUUGAGUUUUCUGAUUCUCAAAUUGAGACGUUACAAAGAUUUUAAAAUUGAAAACUGAAAAGAAACGUUCAGUUUUGGAGUGCAAAACUUUGUUUAAGGCUCUGCAUCAUGGUCAAAUAUGUUCAGAAGAUGUAUUUAAGGUCACAAUUUAAUCAGCUAAAUGGUAAAACGACAUCUUGUAUAUCGCUCUUCUUGUGUUUUUACACAGCAGGUCACACCUACACAUUCACAAACUGGUGCUGUGUAAAGUGACCAUCAGAAGUAACUAGCUAUUCGUUCACAUUCACACACCACCGACGAAGCGUUUUGAGUUUGGAAUAUUCAAUAACUCAAAAUAUCUUAGGGACGCUGGUAGCCUAGUGGUUAGUGUGCGAGUCUCAUGUACAGAUAAUGUAGUUCUCAGGAAGCCCCGGUUAGAAUCGGUCCUAUGGCCUCUAAAUAAAGACAUAACAAGCCAAACAAUAAACCUUCAAUAAAAUAAUAAAUUUAAUGUUA